AAAUAACAUAUUAGUGGUCUCGGUAGUGAUAUUACAGUAUAAU
rnacentral:guide_RNA from 1 species